rnacentral:rRNA from 1 species
AUUGAACGCUGGCGGCAUGCCUUACACAUGCAAGUCGAACGGCAGCGGACCUUCGGGUGCCGGCGAGUGGCGAACGGGUGAGUAAUAUAUCGGAACGUACCUUUCAGUGGGGGAUAACGUAGCGAAAGUUACGCUAAUACCGCAUAUUCUGUGAGCAGGAAAGCGGGGGAUCGCAAGACCUCGCGCGAUUGGAGCGGCCGAUGCCGGAUUAGCUAGUUGGUAGGGUAAAGGCCUACCAAGGCGACGAUCCGUAGCUGGUCUGAGAGGACGACCAGCCACACUGGAACUGAGACACGGUCCAGACUCCUACGGGAGGCAGCAGUGGGGAAUUUUGGACAAUGGGGGCAACCCUGAUCCAGCCAUUCCGCGUGAGUGAAGAAGGCCUUCGGUGUAAAGCUCUUCGGUCAGGAACGAAACGGUAGAGGGCGUAAUACCCUUUACUAACU